UUUGCAGUCAGUUCUUCACUUCAAGCUUUUUCUCCUUCGAUGAAACUUAGAAACUUAUGAUAUGAAUCAAAUUUGAGAAACAAUAUUGUGGGUCUCUUCAUUUUCUUCACUAAGAGAAGGCUGCUUUGGUUCAAGACUUCAACGGUUCGUUUUUGCUGUGACUUGUGAGUUGUGAGCAUCCGUGCUGUGAGCCUGUGAGCGAUUUAGGAAAAUCCUAAUACUUCAAGUCUUCAACUCCAUGUAGAUGGAGUAGGGAUCGUUGGUUUGAGACUAAGAGAGGAGGAUGAAGUUGGUUUAUGUCUUGUUUCUAAAUGAUUUGCAGUUUUCUUUUUAAAUUUCAGACACAAGCUUUAUGUGCUUUCAGAUUCUCAAUGGUUUGUUGUAUUUCACUUUCUAAGUUUCAGAUUUAUGUACCUGCAGAUUUUAAAUAUGUAUUAGAUACACUGCAGAUUUUAAAUAGGUUUAUUACAUGUUAUUGAGCAUGUGAAA